rnacentral:rRNA from 1 species
GAUGAACGCUGGCGGCGUGCCUAAUACAUGCAAGUCGAGCGAACGGACGAGAAGCUUGCUUCUCUGAUGUUAGCGGCGGACGGGUGAGUAACACGUGGAUAACCUACCUAUAAGACUGGGAUAACUUCGGGAAACCGGAGCUAAUACCGGAUGAUAUUUUGAACCGCAUGGUUCAAAAGUGAAAGACGGUCUUGCUGGCACUUAUAGGUGGAUCCGCGCUGCAUUAGCUAGUUGGUAAGGUAACGGCUUACCAAGGCAACGAUGCAUAGCCGACCUGAGAGGGUGAUCGGCCACCCUGGAGCUGAGACACGGUCCAGGCUCCUACGGGAGGCAGCAGUAGGGAAUCUUCCGCAAUGGGCGAAAGCCUGACGGAGCAACGCCGCGUGAGUGAUGAAGGUCUUCCGAUCGUAAUACUCUGUUAUUAGGGAAGAACAUAUGUGUAAGUAACUGUGCACAUCUUGACGGUACCUAAUCAGAAAGCCACGGCUAACUACGUG